AACGAACGCUGGCGGCAUGCCUAACACAUGCAAGUCGAACGAGACCUUCGGGUCUAGUGGCGCACGGGUGCGUAACGCGUGGGAACCUGCCCUUAGGUUCGGAAUAACUCCCCGAAAGGGGUGCUAAUACCGGAUAAUGUCUUCGGACCAAAGAUUUAUCGCCUUUGGAUGGGCCCGCGUUGGAUUAGCUAGUUGGUAGGGUAAAAGCCUACCAAGGCGACGAUCCAUAGCUGGUCUGAGAGGAUGAUCAGCCACACUGGGACUGAGACACGGCCCAGACUCCUCCGGGAGGCAGCAGUGGGGAAUAUUGGACACUGGGCGAAAGCCUGAUCCAGCAAUGCCGCGUGAGUGAUGAAGGCCUUAGGGUUGUAAAGCUCUUUUACCCGGGAUGAUAAUGACAGUACCGGGAGAAUAAGCUCCGGCUAACUCCGU
rnacentral:rRNA from 1 species